CAUGAAUAACAGCCGAGGCGCAAGCGACUAAAGUGAAUCACACUCGAAAACACUGCCGCGGACGCAACAACGAAAGCAGCUCCGCGCUGGUUUUUCGAAAAAUUUCGCGUUGAUAAAAUCGCACAAAAAUCUCGAUAUUGAUAUUUUCGCAAAACAACAACAACAAAAUUAAAGAAAAUAUCAACUAAAAAUAUAUUAUCAAAAGGAAAUAGAUAGAUAUAGCUUCGUAUCGAGUCGGCAAAAGCUAAACGGGUCGAGAUAAUGCCGCUGUUCUCCGCGGAUUGUGGCUACGAAAACGAAUGAAAACGAGAAUACGAUUGUGAGUUAAAAAAAACAUGACGAAAUGUUGUUGUUGAAAACGAGCGCACAACAACAAUAGAAAUAAAAAUAAAAGUGAUUAGAAGAAAAUAGAAACCACAGAAUAAAAGGCGAAAUACAUACAUAUAUGUACAUAUGUAUGUAUGUAUGAAAAUAUCAGAUAUAUAGUGCAUGAAGUAUACGAAAUAAAAUUCUAUUUGGUGUUUAUGGAAUUAUACAAAGUGUUGUGAAAUAA